rnacentral:misc_RNA from 1 species
AAUCCUCAACCCUUCGUUUCGACUUGGGGCUUGGACUUUGGAGUGUGCUGGCGCAAGUCGGCUCCUCUUAAAUGCAUCGGCGGAAUUCAAUCCUUGGCUUUCCGGACGUCAGUGUGAUAAUCUUGUUGCGCUGUCUUCCGAGCCUCAGGUCCGCUUACAAUGGUCUUCGGACAAAUUUAUCGA